rnacentral:rRNA from 1 species
GACGAACGCUGGCGGCGUGCCUAAUACAUGCAAGUAGAACGCUGAAGGAGGAGCUUGCUUCUCUGGAUGAGUUGCGAACGGGUGAGUAACGCGUAGGUAACCUGCCUGGUAGCGGGGGAUAACUAUUGGAAACGAUAGCUAAUACCGCAUAAGAGUAGAUGUUGCAUGACAUUUGCUUAAAAGGUGCAAUUGCAUCACUACCAGAUGGACCUGCGUUGUAUUAGCUAGUUGGUGGGGUAACGGCUUACCAAGGCGACGAUACAUAGCCGACCUGAGAGGGUGAUCGGCCACACUGGGACGGUGACACGGCCCAGACUCCUACGGGAGGCAGCAGUAGGGAAUCUUCGGCAAUGGACGGAAGUCUGACCGAGCAACGCCGCGUGAGUGAAGAAGGUUUUCGGAUCGUAAAGCUCUGUUGUAAGAGAAGAACGAGUGUGAGAGUUGAAAGUUCACACUGUGACGGUAUCUUACCAGAAAGGGACGGCUAACUACGUG